rnacentral:rRNA from 1 species
AUUGAACGCUGGCGGCAUGCCUUACACAUGCAAGUCGAACGGUAGCGGGCCUUCGGGUGCCGACGAGUGGCGAACGGGUGAGUAAUGUAUCGGAACGUACCUUUCAGUGGGGGAUAACGUAGCGAAAGUUACGCUAAUAUCGCAUAUUCUGUGAGCAGGAAAGCAGGGGAUCGCAAGACCUUGCGCUGAUUGAGCGGCCGAUGUCAGAUUAGCUAGUUGGUGAGGUAAAGUCUCACCAAGGCGACGAUCUGUAGCGGGUCUGAGAGGAUGAUCCGCCACACUGGAACUGAGACACGGUCCAGACUCCUACGGGAGGCAGCAGUGGGGAAUUUUGGACAAUGGGGGCAACCCUGAUCCAGCCAUGCCGCGUGAGUGAAGAAGGCCUUCGGGUUGUAAAGCUCUUUCGGCCGGGAAGAAAUCGCACGGGCUAAUACCCUGUGUGGAUGACGGUACCUGAGGAAGAAGCCCCGGCUAACUUCGUGCCAGCCGCCGCGGUAAGAC